GCUCCCAUCGUCUAGUGGUUAGGACAUCAGGUUUUCAUCCUGAAAACAGGGGUUCAAUUCCCCUUGGGAGUA
rnacentral:tRNA from 1 species